GUAUAAAAAGCGAGAAAUUUGCAUAUGGUUUCGACCCGUAUUUUAAGGGUGUAAGUCCUUUUUUAUACU
rnacentral:tRNA from 1 species